ACGGGGUGCAGCAGGCGCGAAAACUUCACACUGGGGGGAACCCCGAUGAGGGAAAUCCUAGUGCUAGGACAUUUGUUCUAGCUUUUCUCAAGCGUAGAUAACUUGAGGAAUAAGGGCUGGGUAAGACGGGUGCCAGCCGCCGCGGUAAUACCUGCAGCCCAAGUGGUGGUCGAUUUUAUUGAGUCUAAAACGUUCGUAGCCGGUUUGGUAAGUCUUUGGGUAAAUCGGGAGGCUCAACUUUCCGACUUCCGAAGAGACUGCCAAACUUGGGACCGGGAGAGGCUAGAGGUACUUCUGGGGUAGGGGUAAAAUCCUGUAAUCCUAGAAGGACCACCGGUGGCGAAGGCGUCUAGCUAGAACGGAUCCGACGGUGAGGGACGAAGCCCUGGGUCGCAAACGGGAUUAGAUACCCCGGUAGUCCAGGGUGUAAACGCUGCCGACUUGGUGUUGGAGGCCCUUCGGGGGCAUUCAGUGCCGGAGAGAAGUUGUUAAGUCGGCUACUUGGGGAGUACGUCCGCAAGGAUGAAACUUAAAGGAAUUGGCGGGGGGAGCACAAUCAC
rnacentral:rRNA from 1 species